GAUGAACGCUGGCGGUAUGCCUAACACAUGCAAGUCGUACGAGAGUUUUUAACUCAAGUGGCGGACGGGUGAGUAACACGUGAGAAUUUGCCUUUAGGAGGGGGACAACAACUGGAAACGGUUGCUAAUACCCCAUAUGCUUUCGAGUGAAAUGAAUUUAUUCGCCUAAAGAGAAGCUCGCGGCUGAUUAGCUUGUUGGUGGGGUAAGAGCCUACCAAGGCGACGAUCAGUAUCUGGUUUGAGAGGACGAUCAGACACACUGGAACUGAGACACGGUCCAGACUCCUACGGGAGGCAGCAGUGGGGAAUUUUCCGCAAUGGGCGAAAGCCUGACGGAGCAAUACCGCGUGAAGGAAGACGGCCUAUGGGUUGUAAACUUCUUUUUUCAGGGAGGAAUUCAAUGACGU
rnacentral:rRNA from 1 species